UGCGCAGGCGGACUAAUAAGUCAGUGGUGAAAUCUCUCGGCUCAACCGAGAAACUGCCAUUGAAACUGUUAGUCUUGAGUAUAGUUGUAGUGGGCGGAAUAUAGCAUGUAGCGGUGAAAUGCUUAGAUAUGCUAUAGAACACCGAUCGCGAAGGCAGCUCACUAAACUAUAACUGACGCUCAGGCACGAAAGCGUGGGGAGCAAACAGGAUUAGAUACCCUGGUAGUC
rnacentral:rRNA from 1 species